rnacentral:rRNA from 1 species
GAUGAACGCUGGCGGCGUGCCUAAUACAUGCAAGUCGAGCGAACAGACGAGGAGCUUGCUCCUCUGACGUUAGCGGCGGACGGGUGAGUAACACGUGGAUAACCUACCUAUAAGACUGGGAUAACUUCGGGAAACCGGAGCUAAUACCGGAUAAUAUAUUGAACCGCAUGGUUCAAUAGUGAAAGACGGUUUUGCUGUCACUUAUAGAUGGAUCCGCGCCGCAUUAGCUAGUUGGUAAGGUAACGGCUUACCAAGGCAACGAUGCGUAGCCGACCUGAGAGGGUGAUCGGCCACACUGGAACUGAGACACGGUCCAGACUCCUACGGGAGGCAGCAGUAGGGAAUCUUCCGCAAUGGGCGAAAGCCUGACGGAGCAACGCCGCGUGAGUGAUGAAGGUCUUCGGAUCGUAAAACUCUGUUAUUAGGGAAGAACAAAUGUGUAAGUAACUCUGCACGUCUUGACGGUACCUAAUCAGAAAGCCACGGCUAACUACGUG